rnacentral:rRNA from 1 species
AGAGUAUAAGCCAAUGGAGCUUGGAAGGCUUCCGCAGUGUCGGCCAUCACAUGUGGUGUGUCGUGAGGCAUGUAGCACGGUUCGUUAGGCGGAGCAUGAGUUGCCGUCCAGCUGUCGUGCGGGGAAUCGGUUUGGGGGUCUUAGGCUUCGGCCGAAGGGCUCCUGGCCGUUUCCUUUUGAAUGAGCGUUCAGAGCUACUGUGUCCUAAUGCGGUUAUGCCCACCACGGCACGUUGUGAGGUCACCCACAGGCUCAAACUGCCGAUCGCGUAUCCAGGACGUUGGCAACGAUGCGUCGUUCGCAGCUCGAUCUAUGGCGGAGCUGUGUGACGCGUGUCUAGUCCUGGGUCGGGCGGCGACCGAGAUAAACCUGGUAUGAUCCUCUUGCGACGAGCUGCUUUCUGGCCAGACCGACGUCCAGGCGCUUCCACUGUGCCGGAAGCGUCAAUCCCAGGCGGUAUGAACCCAGCUGCAUUCUGCAAGGUCUCUCAGCCGGGCGUUGGUCUGAGUGGUGUUAAGUCCAGCACCAUCGGUCACGUCUCGAAACACGGGCCAAGGAGUAUAGCAUGUGUGCAAGUCUAAGGGUCUCACAAAACCCGAAGGCGAAGUGAAAGCAAGACUGUGGCGGGGGAGCUACGGCGAACCCGCCAGCCUUGUGGCGCACCUCGUGUGUUGCUCGGCUUUUAGCAGAGCUGAUCCUGCUUCUCGGUUAAUUCUUGGUGCAGCGCAAGCUCCGGGCUCACGUACAACACUGGUCACCUCGUGUGGCUGUGUUG